UUUCUUUUUUGACAGUCAGUUAAUAAAGACUCAACAAUAAGCAGCUGCCUGUGAUGUCAUUUGGGACUUUGUCCACAGAGCUUGUAUUUACAAGUACUGAGCAACUACAUAGCAGCAGAAAGCCCAACUCUCAGCAAACUUCAUGUCUGCUGUUGCUGGAGGACUUUAGUAGUGCUCUGGAUGGUGUAGAAAGCUAACUCUGUUCUUCAAACCACAGACUUUUAAAGCUUGGUAAAUAAACACUGGAUAAACUCAAGAGAAUUUCUGGACUGCAAAGACUUACGGAUCUGAGUUCUCCAGGGCUGGCAUGUUUUGACUGAGCUGCUACAAUGAUACUGGAAACAGUCUGACACUUCUAGUAGAUCAAAAGGAAAACAAAUAACCUCAGCUAUGGA